rnacentral:rRNA from 1 species
AUUGAACGCUAGCGGGAUGCUUUACACAUGCAAGUCGAACGAGUGGCGGACGGGUGAGUAAUAUAUCGGAACGUGCCCAUUAGCGGGGGAUAACUACUCAAAAGAGUGGCUAAUACCGCAUACUAUCGCUGUGACCUAUAUCUGAUUAGCUAGUGGGGGGGGUAAAGGCUCACAAAGGCAACGAUCCGUAGCUGGUUUGAGAGGACGACGAGCAAAACGGGAACUGAGACACGGCCCAGACUCCUACGGGAGGCAGAAGUGGGAAAUUUUGGACAAUGGGGGAAACCCUGAUGCAGCCAUCCCGCGGGUAUGAGAAGGCCUUCGGGUUGUAAAGUACUUUUGGCAGAGAAGCGGUAUCUGCAGAAUAAGCACCGGCUAACUACGUGCCAGCAGCCGCGGUAAUUC